UAGCUGCGCUGUGCGCUGCGCAGUUCAUGAGUUCACAUCAAAAUGGCGCUCGCUCACUCGCUGUGCGUAGAACGUAGUACUUGUGUAAACGUGUAAAUAAAUUGGAGAUAGCAUACAAGAAAACAGAAAGGGUUCGCGGUUCACCUUUUUUGUAACGGUUUCCUCGGCGUCCUUUACAAAGUCCAGUUGAUAUCGUGUCCUGUCCACGUCCAGGGUGGAUCAGACCUGAUCUACAAAAUCUUGGAGCAGCCGCUUUCGUCGUAUGCCAUUAAAAAAAUUAAAACAUGCCCGUUAUUAAAAUUUGGUCAGUAGACCAAACAAUCAAGAAAGCUGUUCCAAUAAUGGACCCAACUUUAAAAAAUAUCAUUGAAAAAGGUGAGUAAAUCUAAAUUAAUUUGACUUUUCGUAAUGAAAUAUUUUUUGUGUAAUUGUAGAAUGUAGUGUAUUGUAGAAUAGACUAUAAUUGGAUACCUACUGUUAAGCAUUAAUGUGCUGACUCAAACCACAUUUAUUUUGCAGUAUGAUGUCAAUUUAAAAAUUUGACGCUUGAAGUUGACAAGAUAGAGCUGAUGCUGAACCCUGGCUGUACCUAGUGGAACUCAGGUUUGGUGCAACAUAGGCCCACGCUAUUUUGAUCAUCCGUCACAUAGAGGGAGAGCAAUACCCAAGAUAUAAUUCAUAAUCCAUUUUCUUCCAGAUGAGGUACCAUCCUAAAUAUAGUAGUUCCAUUUACUAAUCUUAUUAACUUUUUCUUUUCCAGGAACCAUUAACCAGGGUUCAAGUUGCAGAGCUAUCCGAAAUAGCUGCGCCUAACAUUGUAUUUUUAGAUAAUGAAAAUAUAAUUAUAUUACUUGCUGGUAGAAAAAACGAUUGUUAGCGAAACAGAUUCUGCCUACGUCGUUACAACUAUUGAUGGCGGCUUACUGCAACUUGAAUAUGGAAUAUCCAGUGGACUGUCAAAACACAUUAGAAUUUAUACAAAGGUAUAUUUUUAUUAAAAUAAAUCCUAAAGAAGGAAGUCAUAAGUAAUAGUUUUUGAUUUUUAAAAAGCGUUUUUCAAUUAAAAGACAUGUCAAGAUCGCUUAACUUCUUGCAAGUUCUUUCUAAUGCUAAAAAAACUAACUAUAAUUAAUGUCAGUAACAAACAUUUUCAGACAAUUCGUUACUUGAAAUGGUAUAGGUUUCACGCAUUAGAUUCACAUAGGCCUUAUUAACCGAAACUUUUAUAAGACUAAUUCGUAAGAAGUACUUAUGUACAUAAGAUAUAAUUUAUAGUGUCGUAUAUGUCUUCUACUUUUUGUACUCUGUCACAGAAUAAAUAAUAAUAAUAUGCACGUAGACGUGUAUAUACGCGUGUGCUCUAUAAUUUUAGUGUGUGAAAUUCAAUAAAUUUAUUUCUU